rnacentral:rRNA from 1 species
AGCCAUGCGAGUCAUUGUAGCAAUACAAGGCGGACGGCUCAGUAACACGUAGUCAACCUAACUCGUGGACGUGGAUAACCUCGGGAAACUGAGAAUAAACCACGAUAGAUCAUAGUGCCUGGAAUGGCUUAUGGUCCAAACAGUUUACUGCCAUGGGAUGGGACUGCGGCCUAUCAGCUUGUUGGUGAGGUAAUGGCCCACCAAGGCGAUUACAGGUACGGGCUCUGAGAGGAGAAGCCCGGAGAUGGGUACUGAGACACGGACCCAGGCCCUAUGGGGCGCAGCAGGCGAGAAACCUUAGCAAUGUGCGAAAGCACGACUGGGUCAGUCCGAGUGAUUCCUGAUAAAGGAGUCUUUUGCUUGUCCUAAAAGCACAGGUGAAUAAGGGGUGGGCAAGUCUGGUGUCAGCCGCCGCGGUAAUACCAGCACCUCGAGUGGUCAGGACGUUUAUUGGGCCUAAAGCAUCCGUAGCCGGCUUUGCAAGUCUUCGGUUAAAUCCACCUGCUCAACAGAUGGGCCGCUGGAGAUACUACAGAGCUAGGGAGUGGGAGAGGCAGACGGUAUUCAGUGGGUAGGGGUAAAAUCCUCUGAUCCAUUGAGGACCACCAGUGGCGAAGGCGGUCUGCCAGAACACGUUCGACGGUGAGGGAUGAAAGCUGGGGGAGCAAACCGGAUUAGAUACCCGGGUAGUCCCAGCUGUAAACGAUGCAAACUCGGUGAUGCAUUGGCUUAUGGCCAAUGCAGUGCCGCAGGGAAGCCGUUAAGUUUGCCGCCUGGGAAGUACGGACGCAAGUCUGAAACUUAAAGGAAUUGGCGGGGGAGCACCACAAGGGGUGAAGCCUGCGGUUCAAUUGGACUCAACGCCGGGAA